UACGUAGGGGGCAAGCGUUGUCCGGAUUUACUGGGUGUAAAGGGUGCUCAGGCGGAUUUGUAAGUCAGGGGUGAAACUCCGGAGCUUAACUCCGGAACUGCCUCUGAAACUGUGAGUCUCGAGUUUGAGAGAGGGCAAUGGAAUAUCUGGUGUAGCAGUGAAAUGCGUAGAUAUCAGAUAGAACACCAAUGGCGAAGGCAGUUGCCUGGCUCAAUACUGACGCUAAAGCACGAAAGUGUGGGUAGCAAACAGG
rnacentral:rRNA from 1 species